GGAGAGGUCGCAUAGUGGUCUAGUGCGCCUGCUUGGAGAGCAGGUGUGUCGCAAGACACCGGGAGUUCGAAUCUCCCCCUCUCCGCCA
rnacentral:tRNA from 2 species